AGAUACAGCCUACGGGAGACAGCAGUAGGGAAUUUUCGUCAAUGGGGGCAACCCUGAACGAGCAAUGCCGCGUGAGCGAAGAAGGUCUUCGGAUUGUAAAGCUCUGUUGCCGGGGAAAAGGAAGGAAAGAGGAAAUGCUUUUCUUUGGAUGGUACCCGGCCAGAAAGUCACGGCUAACUACGUGCC
rnacentral:rRNA from 1 species